rnacentral:rRNA from 1 species
GUUGUUGCUGGCUCUCUAGGGAGCAUGUGCACACUUGUCAUCUUUAUAUCUCCACCUGUGCACCUUUUGUAGAUCUGAAUAGCUUUCUGAAUGCCUAGCAUUUGGGUUUGAAGAUUGACUUUGCUGUCUCUCUUUACUUUCAGGUCUAUGUUUCUCCAUAUACCCCUAUGUAUGUUAUAGAAUGUAAUAAAUGGGCCUUUGUGCCUAUAAAUUUAUACAACUUUCAGCAACGGAUCUCUUGGUUCUCGCAUCGAUGAAGAACGCAGCGAAAUGCGAUAAGUAAUGUGAAUUGCAGAAUUCAGUGAAUCAUCGAAUCUUUGAACGCACCUUGCGCUCCUUGGUAUUCCGAGGAGCAUGCCUGUUUGAGUGUCAUUAAUAUAUCAACCUCUUCAGAUUUUUUUGUCGAGUGUUGGAUGUGGGGGGUAUUUUUUGCUGGUCUCUCUUUGAGGUCAGCUCCCCUAAAAUAUAUUAGCGGGACAAUUUGUUGACCGUUCAUUGGUGUGAUAACUAUCUACGCUAUUGACGUGAGGCAGGUUCAGCUUCUAACAGUCCAUUGACUUGGACAAAUCUUUUAUUAAUGUGACCUCAAA